UUUAAGCAUCUUAUUUAUUGACUUUAAUUAUUUAUUUUGAUUUAAUAUUCAUUGCUAUAAACAAACAACUUUGUGUUUAUAUUCCAGUGACCCUAGUUUGGAAUCUGAUUCAUUCCUGAAUAGCUACCUUGAUAUGGACUCAGUAAAGAUGAUUUUC
rnacentral:lncRNA from 1 species